UACAGGGGUGGCAAACGUUGCUCGGAAUCAUUGGGCGUAAAACGGCACGUAGGCGGUUCGUUAUGUCGGAUGUGAAAGGCCCUUGGACUUAACCGAGGAAGUGCAUCCGAAACUGGCGAGCUAGAGUACUAAAGAGGAUCGCGGAAUUCCCGGUGUAGAGGUGAAAUUCGUAGAUAUCGGGAGGAACACCUGUGGCGAAAGCGGCGCACUGGACCAUAACUGACGCUGAGGCGCGAAAGCUAGGGGAGCAAACAGG
rnacentral:rRNA from 1 species